rnacentral:misc_RNA from 1 species
GAUGAAGAACGCAGCGAAAUGCGAUACGUAAUGUGAAUUGCAGAAUUCAGUGAAUCAUCGAGUCUUUGAACGCACAUUGCGCCCCCUGGUAUUCCGGGGGGUAUGCCUGUCCGAGCGUCAUUGCUGCCCUCAAGCACGGCUUGUGUGUUGGGCCUCCGUCCUCCUCCCGGGGGACGGGCCCGAAAGGCAGCGGCGGCACCGCGUCCGGUCCUCGAGCGUAUGGGGCUUCGUCACCCGCUCUUGUAGGCCCGGCCGGCGCUUGCCGACACAUCAAUCUUUUUUCCAGGUUGACCUCGGAUCAGGUAGGGAUACCCGCUGAACUUAAGCAUAUCAAUAAGCGGAGGA